UACGUAGGGGCCGAGCGUUGUCCGGAGUUAUCGGGCGUAAAGCGCGCGCAGGCGGCCUCGCGCGCCCGACGUGAAAGCCCCCGGCUCAACUGGGGAGGGUCACGCGAUACUGAUCGACUCGAAGGCAGGAGAGGGAAGUGGAAUUCCCGGUGUAGUGGUGAAAUGCGUAGAUAUCGGGAGGAACACCAGUGGCGAAGGCGACUUCCUGGCCUGUUCUUGACGCUGAGGCGCGAAAGCUAGGGGAGCAAACGGG
rnacentral:rRNA from 1 species